rnacentral:rRNA from 1 species
GAGAGGUAACGGCUCACCAAGGCAUCGACGGGUAGCUGGUCUGAGAGGAUGAUCAGCCACACUGGAACUGAGACACGGUCCAGACUCCUACGGGAGGCAGCAGUGGGGAAUCUUGCACAAUGGGCGAAAGCCUGAUGCAGCGAUGCCGCGUGCGGGAAGAAGGCCCUAGGGUUGUAAACCGCUUUCAGGAGGGAAGAAAAUGACGGUACCUCCAGAAGAAGGUGCGGCCAACUACGUGCCAGCAGCCGCGGUGACACGUAGGCACCAAGCGUUAUCCGGAUUUAUUGGGCGUAAAGAGCUCGUAGGCGGUUUGGUAAGUCGGGUGUGAAAACUCUGGGCUCAACCCAGAGAGGCCACUCGAUACUGCUAUGACUAGGGUACGGUAGGGGAGCGGGGAAUUCCUGGUGUAGCGGUGAAAUGCGCAGAUAUCAGGAGGAACACCAGCGGCGAAGGCGCCGCUCUGGGCCGUAACUGACGCUGAGGAGCGAAAGCAUGGGUAGCAAACAGGAUUAGAUACCCUGGUAGUCCAUGCCGUAAACGUUGGGCACUAGGUGUGGGUCUCAACCAACGAGAUCCGCGCCGUCGCUAACGCAUUAAGUG